rnacentral:rRNA from 1 species
AGACGAGGAGCUUGCUCCUCUGACGUUAGCGGCGGACGGGUGAGUAACACGUGGAUAACCUACCUAUAAGACUGGGAUAACUUCGGGAAACCGGAGCUAAUACCGGAUAAUAUAUUGAACCGCAUGGUUCAAUAGUGAAAGACGGUUUUGCUGUCACUUAUAGAUGGAUCCGCGCCGCAUUAGCUAGUUGGUAAGGUAACGGCUUACCAAGGCAACGAUGCGUAGCCGACCUGAGAGGGUGAUCGGCCACACUGGAACUGAGACACGGUCCAGACUCCUACGGGAGGCAGCAGUAGGGAAUCUUCCGCAAUGGGCGAAAGCCUGACGGAGCAACGCCGCGUGAGUGAUGAAGGUCUUCGGAUCGUAAAACUCUGUUAUUAGGGAAGAACAAAUGUGUAAGUAACUAUGCACGUCUUGACGGUACCUAAUCAGAAAGCCACGGCUAACUACGUGCCAGCAGCCGCGGUAAUACGUAGGUGGCAAGCGUUAUCCGGAAUUAUUGGGCGUAAAGCGCGCGUAGGCGGUUUUUUAAGUCUGAUGUGAAAGCCCACGGCUCAACCGUGGAGGGUCAUUGGAAACUGGAAAACUUGAGUGCAGAAGAGGAAAGUGGAAUUCCAUGUGUAGCGGUGAAAUGCGCAGAGAUAUGGAGGAACACCAGUGGCGAAGGCGACUUUCUGGUCUGUAACUGACGCUGAUGUGCGAAAGCGUGGGGAUCAAACAGGAUUAGAUACCCUGGUAGUCCACGCCGUAAAACGAUGAGUGCUAAAGUGUUAGGGGGUUUCCGCCCCUUAGUGCUGCAGCUAACGCAUUAAGCACUCCGCCUGGGGAGUACGACCGCAAGGUUGAAACUCAAAGGAAUUGACGGGGACCCGCACAAGCGGUGGAGCAUGUGGUUUAAUUCGAAGCAACGCGAAGAACCUUACCAAAUCUUGACAUCCUCUGACCCCUCUAGAGAUAGAGUUUUCCCCUUCGGGGGACAAGUGACGGGCUGGUUGCAUGGUUGUCGUCAGCUGUCGUGAGAGUUGGGUUAAUCCCGCAACGAGCGCACCCUUAAGCUUAGUUGCCAUUAGUUGGGCACUCUAAGUGACUCCGGGACACCGGAGGAAGGUGGGGAUAACGUAAAUCUCAGCCCCUUAUGAAUUGGCUACACUGCUACAUGACAAUCAAGGACGAAACCCGAGUCAGACAUCCUAUAAUGUUCUCC